GUCCUCUCUGGGUAACACCUGGAGAAUUUCCAGUCCUCUACCAGUCUUGACUACAGGAGGGAGAGUCAAGCAGACUCUCUUUCCAUUCCUAGCUUGGGCAGUGGCUAGCGAGUGGAAGGCAAUCUGCCACAAGU